UGGGGAAUAUUGCACAAUGGGGGAAACCCUGAUGCAGCGAUGCCGCGUGAGCGAAGAAGGUUUUCGAAUCGUAAAGCUCUGUCCUAUGAGAAGAUAAUGACGGUAUCAUAGGAGGAAGCCCCGGCUAAAUACGUGCCAGCAGCCGCGGUAAUACGUAUGGGGCGAGCGUUGUCCGGAAUUAUUGGGCGUAAAGGGUACGUAGGCGGUCUAUUAAGUCAGGUGUGAAAGCGUGAGGCUUAACCUCAUUAAGCACUUGAAACUGAUAGACUUGAGUGAAGGAGAGGAAAGUGGAAUUCCUAGUGUAGCGGUGAAAUGCGUAGAUAUUAGGAGGAAUACCGGUGGCGAAGGCGACUUUCUGGACUUUUACUGACGCUCAGGUACGAAAGCGUGGGGAGCAAACAGG
rnacentral:rRNA from 1 species